rnacentral:rRNA from 1 species
GAUGAACGCUGGCGGCGUGCCUAAUACAUGCAAGUCGAGCGAACAGACGAGGAGCUUGCUCCUCUGACGUUAGCGGCGGACGGGUGAGUAACACGUGGAUAACCUACCUAUAAGACUGGGAUAACUUCGGGAAACCGGAGCUAAUACCGGAUAAUAUAUUGAACCGCAUGGUUCAAUAGUGAAAGACGGUUUUGCUGUCACUUAUAGAUGGAUCCGCGCCGCAUUAGCUAGUUGGUAAGGUAACGGCUUACCAAGGCAACGAUGCGUAGCCGACCUGAGAGGGUGAUCGGCCACACUGGAACUGAGACACGGUCCAGACUCCUACGGGAGGCAGCAGUAGGGAAUCUUCCGCAAUGGGCGAAAGCCUGACGGAGCAACGCCACGUGAGUGAUGAAGGUCUUCGGAUCGUAAAACUCUGUUAUUAGGGAAGAACAAAUGUGUAAGUAACUAUGCACGUCUUGACGGUACCUAAUCAGAAAGCCACGGCUAACUACGU